GUCCACACCCUAACGAUGUCAACUGGUUGUUGGGUCUUCACUGACUCAGUAACGAAGCUAACGCGUGAAGUUGACCGCCUGGGGAGUACGGCCGCAAGGUUGAAACUCAAAGGAAUUGACGGGACCCGCACAAGCGGUGGAUGAUGUGGUUUAAUUCGAUGCAACGCGAAAACCUUACCCACCUUUGACAUGUACGGAACUCGCCAGAGAUGGCUUGGUGCUCGAAAGAGAGCCGUAACACAGGUGCUGCAUGGCUGUCGU
rnacentral:rRNA from 1 species